GGACAGGUGGCCGAGUGGUUGAAGGCACCGGUUUGCUAAACCGGCAUACGGGGUAUAUCCCUGUAUCGCGGGUUCGAAUCCCGCCCUGUCCG
rnacentral:tRNA from 1 species